rnacentral:rRNA from 1 species
CUCUCAGCAAUGGAUAUCUCGGCUCUCGUAUCGAUGAAGAAUGUAGCGAAAUGCGAUACCUGGUGUGAAUUACAGAAUCCCAUGAACCAUCGAGUCUUUGAACGCAAGUUGCGCCCGAGGCCAUCCGGCCAAGGGCACGCCUGCCUGGGCAUCAC